GUAGGGAAUAUUGGGCAAUGGUCGGAAGACUGACCCAGCCAUGCCGCGUGCAGGAAGACGGCCCUCUGGGUUGUAAACUGCUUUUAUCUGGGAAGAAAAAGGCCAUGCGUGGCAAAUUGCCGGUACCAGAUGAAUAAGCACCGGCUAACUCCGUGCCAGCAGCCGCGGUAAUACGGAGGGUGCGAGCGUUGUCCGGAUUUCUUGGGUUUAAAGGGUGCGUAGGCGGCUGAUUAAGUCAGCGGUGAAAGACUUCGGCUUAACCGGAGCAGUGCCGUUGAUACUGGUUGGCUUGAGUGUCGGAGGGGUACAUGGAAUUGAUGGUGUAGCGGUGAAAUGCAUAGAUACCAUCAGGAACACCGAUAGCGAAGGCAUUGUACUGGCCGACAACUGACGCUGAUGCACGAAAGUGUGGGGAUCGAACAGGAUUAGAUACCCGUGUAGUCC
rnacentral:rRNA from 1 species